GGUGGUUCUCAGGUGAUGCACCCCGGAAUCCGGCUGCCUCCUCUCUGGUUCCAGGUGCGUUGCCCGAGAACCACA
rfam:Myotis davidii contig106485, whole genome shotgun sequence.